rnacentral:misc_RNA from 1 species
AAAAAUUUCAGAAUAUGGCACAUUAUCAUCUUAUUCUUGUAACUAGAAAUGUAGCAUUAAUCCAACGUGUUACCAUAAACGACAAAUCAGAUCAUGUGGGAAACUUGUCUCUUUUUUCUUUUGGAAGAAACUUGUCUUUUCUUCAAAGAAUUAUUCUUGCACAAUCUUAUGAUGAAGUCGCAUCUGAGCAGCUUCUCCUAGUAAUGUCAUGAACAAACAACUGAAUAUUCCGAUCCGACGCGCCACCACUGGCCACCGCUUCCCUCGCUGCCCGUUUCAAUUCCUUUGCGUUAGCUUUAAGCUCCUCAGAUUUUGUUCCGUCCAUAAUCUCCCCAAUACAUCUUUCAAUUUCAUCGUUGCUAAUGGUUCCAUCUUGAUUUGCCCUCAGCCUUAGACCUAUUCGGAAAACAUCAACAAUAAGCUUUGCAUUUGUUGGCUGAUCUGUCCAUUGAGGGUAUGCGAUCACCGGCACGCCUGCAACUAUAGUUUCUAGGAUAGAAUUCCAUCCACAGUGUGUUAUAAAACAAGCAAUUGCAGGGUGGGUUAAGACCUUGGUUUGUGGAGACCAGGACACAAUAAGCCCCUGAUCUUUUGUCUCCUCCAAGAACCCUAACGGUAGCUGUCCCUCCCCAUCUGGUAGUGGAAAGUCUGGUUGCUUAGCCACCCAUAAAAAUGGAUGGUUAGUGUUCUUUAGGGCUUUUGCUAUGCUCUCCAUUUGUUUGGCUGACAAAACAGUGAUACUUCCAAAAGAUAUAUAUAUAACUGAGGAAGGUGCUUGCUUUUUUAACCAUUCAAGGCAAGUAUCUUCUGCUUUCCACAUCUCAACACCGAUAUCCUGGUCUUCAUUUUCACCGAGUAGUGAUGGAGGGACAAGAGGACCGAUGGGACGAAUUGGGAAGUGCUCAGUCAUGGACUCAAUAACAUCUUUCUCAAGCUCAAAGAAAGAGCUUCCCAGAACCCAUGUAUACCUGUUCAAGUUCAAGAACAUUUCAGCGAACAAUUUAGGGAAGCUACCAAACGGAUUUGAAGGAAGAACAAAAGAAGGUAAGUCUUCUGUGAGCAAUAAUGGCAGGCCUGGCAACUCAACACUCAUUUCAGGGUUUGUUAAGGUAGGGAACGAGUUUAGGCUAUGGUAGAAACGAUAAUAAAUGGCAUAAAGCGAACAUGGUUGUAUCCAGAGCAUUGCACAAGGGAUUCCAAGCUCAGUAGCAACAUCAAUUACCCAAGGAACAAAGGGAUUGUUUAUGAUACAAGCGAGUUUCUUGUGACCAUUGUCGGGGUAAUAUUCUUUGAUAAGGUUGGAGAGGUUAAUGGGUCCAAAUUUG